GCAUUAGGACAGGAUUAGAGUCAUGUAGCAAAAUACCAUUGUAAGAUUAGGAAGCUGCUUUAUGAUCUGUAUUAAUGUUGAUCUGUAGAAGCUUCGCAAAAGCAAUAAAUCAAAUUAGUUAUCCAAUAGGUUCAUCCGAAUUUUUAUUUACUUAACAGCAAGUAAGUAGUCAUGCAUGCUGUAAAUCAUUAAUCAAUUCCUAUCGUUGCAGAUAAUGAUGUGUAAUUAAAAUACUCGUAUUAUAUCAUAACUUAUAAAAAUCGCAUGUAACUAACUAGCAAACGCAGCUAAUGAAUAUUUAUAUGUUCUCUUAUGAGCAAUGCAAUCAUUCUAACUAUUCCCGCUAUAAGCAAAACAUCAAUUAAAAGUAUAAUCGAAUUAGGCAAGUAAUUAAGUGUGUGCUAAUCGUAUAAAUGUGUCAGAAUUGCACUUAUCUUAACGACAUUUUUGCAUUAUUUUUUUGUAGUUUUUUUUAACACAUUCUGAUGGAAAACUUUCCGUGUGCAUUUUAUGAAAUCAUAUCGCAUGAUGCCAUCCCUCAUUUUCCAUUCAUUAUUAAGUCUGAAUUUAAAUAAGUGAUGAGGCAGAUGAAGUUUGUUGCCAGUGAAAAUUGAAAGAAGUCAUUGACUUUUUCUGCUUGAAUGGGAUGUGAAACGUGUGCGAAUAUGAGUGUAUUCAAUGAAUCACAACAGCAGUAGUAAUCAUAAAAUGUGGUAUCAACCAAUCUCACAUUCCUAUGAAGUAGUUUAUAUGGUAUAUAUUUUAAUAUUGUCGUAAAUGUAUAAAAUUUUGUGGUAAUUAACUGUGUUUGCCUUGAAAGAAACAAGAAAAUGAAAACAGAAAGUUUAAUUGUUCUAUCACUGCAUAUUUCCAGUUCUAAACCAGUUCUGUGUGCGCGAAUGCAUAUUUAUAAAAAAUUGAUAGAACGAUAAGUAAAUAUAAUGUGGGAACAUUGUGCUUUCCUCGUGAAAGGUACACAUCUAUUUACAUUCACACCCCCUCCACCCGUUCCCCAGAAAGUACACAUAUCAAUUAAGUUCUGGUGUGGUUCCCUUUGGACUGCGGCAAUCUGGUGCUGCUUUAUGGCCAAGGCAAUUAGUUCCGAGGGCCGCCCUAUCAUUAUGGCUGCCGCACGCCCACUCAGCACCUGCCCGUGGUUUCCGAGGUAUCUGGACGCUCGGGGAGAGGAGUAUCUAAUCUAACUAACUAACUAACUGAGUGAAUGGAGCGAGAAACUUUUACUUUCUACCAUUUGAGCUGCACGGAGGAAAAAAGGGAUAUAUAAGGACAUGCUUCUAUCUUACUUAAGGUAUCUAAACUUUUACAUCUUUUGUAAGUUUUGAGCCAGAUGUUGAUUUAUAUCAAUCUUGCUUUAUAGCAAUUUUUAUCAAUAUUAAUGUAAUAUACUCCAGAGAUCUUUAAGCAUAAGCAUAAACUUUGAAAAACAUUAUGAGAUACUUAAAGCUUGCAAAGCACACAUAUACUAUCUACAAAUAUUUGGAAUUACCGUCUAAUAAUUAUAAACAAAUGAAACACUUAUUUUUCAUGUUAAUUUGAAUACUUUAAUGUGUCAGAUUUUUCGUAAGAAAAAGCACCAAACCAUGAGUAAUUCCCACUUAUUUCCCCUCAGUGUGGGAUGGCUACUCCCCCUGCCAAUCUAUCUAUCAAACUAUACCGAGUACCUUUGUACUCUGCUUGUCCGUUUGUAUCUGUGAGGUUUUUUAGAGUUCAGGCAGCCAGUGCGUGAUUGAGGCGAAGGACAGGACAGGAAAGGACGACAUUUAGAGGCUCUGCCAGCACAUUUGUUGUGGCUGUCGACAUGGUCAUGGACAUGGACUGAACUGGACACGUCCUCCUCACUCUUGCCCCGCUUUAUAUUUUUUUUGGGGGGCCAAUCGACUGGCCUUGGAUCGAUGGAACGCAGGGCACGUUUGUGGCCUACACCGCAGAAAGCGGUUCAUAAAGUACAUGGCCGCAAGUACACAUGUUUGUCUAUGCAAAGGAUGGUCCUUUUAUCCUUUCUUGGCUCUUUCGGCAAGUUAAGGACAUGCGUAAGUCGCAAGUUUUACGACUUCAUUAGACGGCAGACAGUCGCCGGCUGGCCAUAUCCACACCUCUUGGAAGCACUCAACGGAACUGAAACAGCCUCAUGACUUGCUGUUUAUGGGUCUUUUGGGAACGCAAAUUGCUUGUUCGACAUUGAAAAUAACAAAUUUUGAACUCAAUUGAAACGGAAAUGUCGCUUCGAAUCCAUAUGUACACAAGGCAGUACAUGGGUAUAUGUAUAUGUAAAUUUCUGUCGAUCAUAAACGCAAAAGAUUUCUCACACUAUUAUUGAUCGGCACUUUUAUACUGUUUGCUUUUGCACUCCACAAUUUGAUUAGGCGAUAUCAAAAGGGUACAUAUAUACGAGUAUAAACACACACUCUAUGUAUGUACACACGUUGGAAUCGCUAUCGCAUUACCAGGUGAAUGGGAGAACGCCAGGCAGGUGCUUCAUUUCAGCGAAACUAUAAAUAAAAACCUUUUCGCUCUCGGGUUUUAAGUUUCAAGUGCAAGCUGCAGUUCAGCAUUCGCUGCUCAUCGCACUUUUUGUUUGUUUAAUGGCACUUUGCUGCCCCUGAGAAAUUGCUUCCGAUGGAAAUUUUGCGAGUUCCCCGAAACGCGUACUUUUUGUGCAAUACAGCUUAAUUAUGGUUGUGGAAGUUGCUCAAUAUUAGCUUAAAACGGAAAGCCACGAUUCUUUUUAAGACAAAUACUUUUGCUCAACACUUAUGUACUUAAAGCACUUGAAAUGAAAAAAAUAAUCGUAAAUGAGUAAGAAUAUUAAGAAUGUUGAUUUCGGCUCUGAUAACUGAGUAAAACUCAGCCCAUUAUACUAUAUUGUGCAUAAGCGGGGACCAUUUCGUUUAAUUAUGCGAGGGGCGGUUGGUGAUUUCGCCUUUAAUGCCGCGUUUUAUUUUUGUCCGUGUUAUUUGCGUAAGAUUUGGGUCUUUUGAGCACUUUAUUACGCCCCGCCCGUGCCCACUUGUAAUUACGACUAAAUUAGCGCAUUUUAUUAAAUUCCACGCCUGAACAACGGAACGGGGCACGCCCUCUCCAGUCGGACCAGAUGAAACAAGUAAUCUUCACGUGGCGCAAGGAGCCAAGGGGAUUCCGGGCGAUAUCGAGGGGCUAACCAGCCGGAUGGGGCGGGUAGGAGAGAAACUGGAGUCAGGCUGGGUCCAAUUCAACUGUUUUGCGCUUUGUUUUGCGCUGCCUGCGCUUUGUUCCAUUGCUUUUUUGAUAUUUUGCGCAUUAUUUUUUGUGUGUUUGCGCUCUCUGUGUAAAACUUAUUUUUAAGUCCGAACGCGAACUGGUUUAAGUUCGAGGCAAUUAAUGCAAAAGUUAUACCCCACGGGCAGUGCCAAAUAUAUACAUAUGUAUAUGCAUAUGUUUGUAUGGAUAUACUGCGCCUUUGUUCGGAAAACCUAUGCGAAGUGCGGACUGCGAGCGCAAUUGCUUGGGAAAAGCCGCUUCUUAUCAAUGGUAUAUUUUACGCUACACUCCAUUUUACAUUUUCAUGAUACUCGGUCAAUAUUUGAGCGUAAUACCCCAACCACAAUUGCCAAUGUUUAUUUAACAACGACACCUGAAAUGACAGAAACACCAGCCGCCGCAGACUGAGACACAUUUAUACACUCCGGCGACAGAUUAGAUUUGCGAUGGCCGGAUGAUAAGCCACAUCGGGCUGACAUCGAGGGUGUUGAACGGUCUGUAUUUUCACAAAAGAUGCGCAUAUAUAAAUGAUGGCCGCUCAAAUGCCACGGAUAUUUCACAACAUGCAAAUACAUUUGAGUAAAUAUGCGUAUGAACGUGCUUUCCAUUAACGUUUUCAAAUUGGCAAUAUGAAUAACUGGAACUGUCAAUUUAAUAAGAUACAAAUUCAGUUUGUAAAGUUUAGUGAGCAAGAAAUAGUUGUGUUUAGAUACCUAGUAAGAGUUUUUAAAAUUUAUGUUAAUUAGAAUUAAAUAAAUAGGAAGAGCACUUUCUUUAAUUAUUGACUGAGUUUUAGUAACAGGCGUUGUUAUUCUUAUGUAUAUGAUUUAUCUUAAUUUUAAACCCUAUUAGCUCCAUAAGUCGUAAGAGUAUGGUCAAUGCCCCGCAGUCACGUCAGAUUGAAAUAUAAAUAAAUCGCGAGUAAUUUAUUAACGUAUAAUUGUUUAAACCGAUAACAGCUGGCGCCUCGCGUCAAGAUCUUGUCACCUUCCCAGCAUCGCAGCGCCCAUAUUUGCAUUUCAAUCGAAGUGCCGAUCGGCAUGGAACUAGUAUGGUAAGUACGUACAAGUCAAUGUUAUUAACUGUGAACUGUUGCCUAAUGACUGUCAUUAGCAGGCGUUAGAUGGGGAUUACGAAGAUUGAGAUCUCAACGGUUGGCAGUAGCAUAACAUUUAAGUGCAGAUGAACAGAUGAAGUUGGCAAAUGAAUGUGAGAUCAACUGGGAAUGAAUCAUUUGCUGCUUAAAACUGGGUUAUUUUCGUUCGCAUUUAUAGCCAUAUCUUAUCUGUGUUGACUCUUCGGUGGGGUUUUCUGAUCUUAGUAUGGACAGCUGGAUUUGUUUAUUGUGCGCAAAGAACACACUUUACUUUUUAGCAAUUACAAUCUGCGUUGAGAACUUAAUUAUUUCGAUUCCCCGAGCGACGGACAAUCAAACAUUUAAAUCAUGUCCGUUUCCUGGCUAUAAAUAAACAAUGGACAAUGCCAAGAAGAAUGUCAACCAUCCCACGAAUUUUCAAUUGCGUGCUUGCACUUGCACUUGAUUUUAUUUUAUUUUCCUUUUCGUUUUUCCCCCAUUAUUUUUGUGUGUUCUUGUUGUGCGGUGUACUUGAGUAACAUAUAGGGUUCCUUUUUUUUGGCCAAAUCAAGGGCCUUCGAGUGCCGAAACUCACCUGACAUUUGCAUAGUGCUGGCCGGAAUUCCAAUCCACAUGCUCGAUAUCCGAAGAGGUUUUGGCGUUG